UGUCACCUAAUCAGUCUUCAUCACUGAUGUAGAGCACCUGGGGCGAACUGGGCGAAAGCUCAGUCAGUCAAAGAAAGAAACUUCCGAGGAAAGAAGCCCCAUGUCUACACAUGACUUCAGUCUAAAAACGCCAAUGCUGUCAAAGAGGCAGCUGCGACUGUCUUGGCUCCUCCAAGGCUUCCCUCGGAGACACUGGCGGUCACCACACCCCUCCGACUUUCAGGUCUGAGGAAGCGAGAGAGGAGAACGCAGACCUUCUGAUCUUUUUGGAGGAAGACUUUGGCUACCAACAUGAGGAUGACACACUGACACCUGACAUAUCAAUAAAGCAAAGUAUUGCAUUGCAAUGGUGGUCAAAGGGC